ACAGGAAGUCCCGCCCUUCACCGGAAAAGAUGGAGGCUGGACUCAGAUGGAGGCCAGAGUUGCCUUCCUGAUGAUUCUCAUUCCUUUUGAGCAGAAUGAAAUCUUUGCCACACCAUCUAUCUUGAAGUGCCAACACCCAAGAAAAUGAGAUGCAAUGGAUUACAAUUGAAACUGUAACAAUGAGG